rnacentral:lncRNA from 1 species
AUUCCCUCACCCUAACUAAUUGUUUAGAUCUGCUAAUCUGCAUCCGUCAUCUGUGAAGGGGCUAAAGCUGUUCUCAUCUCCUGGUUUAUAGAAGUCAGCUAUAGUGAGUCCGUAACAAGAUCUACAAGGUUUACCUACUACCCUGUGGCGAGAUGAUUGCACACAAUUGGUCCUGACCUCUGCUGUUGCUUGUCCUCGUUCUCUUCUUUCCUCCCGGCCAUGUGUCACAGCUGCCUUGUUGAGGAUGCUAAGACACACUGGAGAAGCCACGUGUGGUCAAGCAUCAUUGCAGCCCUACUGCUGGCCACGAAGGCAUUAGCCAUCAGCUACAUGGAUGGGAAGGCUCCUACCAGGCUCAGGAAACACACAAGUUAUUUUUAAGUUAUGUAGUCAUUGAUAUCCUGUAUUUCCCCUGAAAAAAACAACAGAGAAACAAACAAACAAAAAACAGCAUACUAUUAAAGCAGGGCAUGUGUUUCGGAGGUGGCUUGGGAGAUGAGAUGAGAUACUGAACCUAGAGUUUGAAGCUUGGUUGUGGGUUACUGUGAUCCGGCAUAUAACUUUCAGGAACUGCGUGGGUCACCAACAUGAAAAUACCUCCCCUUUUUUCUUCAGCUAAUCUGCAUUAAAACAAAGGUUAUAUUGUUCUAAGUACUAUCUCAUGUCAACAAUUACUGGGACCACACCUUAUGUUAUCAGUGCCCAGAGACCAGCCUCAGACACCUGGAGCUACAGAUGGAUGCACUAUAUAACCCUGACCAUCAGACCUGUCUACACAUUUAUGAAGAAAGGUGGAAACCCUCCAACACAGAUAUUUCAAAAGAAGAAUAACAAUUCAGUUUUACUGAUCCAUUGGGAAAAAAAGACACAUGAACUGAGUUUACUAAAGAUCCAUAGACAGUCUUUGCAUCUCCUUUCAACAUCAAGGGUUAUCCUGACAGCAAAGGGCAUGUAUAUGCUUUACAAAAGGAAGGAGAUGAUAUACUGCACUAUAGACAUUGCUGUUUGUUGGUAAUUUUGUCUCAGAAGUCAAAGCACCAAGUGACAUUUGUAUGUAUGACAUUAAUCGUGUGACUAUGCAUACACAUAUGUACCUUCAAACAAAUAAAAGCAACAUGUUUAUUAUUAGAAGUUUUGUG